UUUGAAUACAUCCUGGCCAAGCUACAAGGUGAGGCCCCUUCAAAAACACUUGUUGAGACAGCCAAAGAGGCCAAAGAGAAAGCAAAGGAGACCGCACUGGCAGCUACAGAGAAGGCCAACGACCUAGCCAACAAGGCCGCCACCAAGCAGCAGCAGCAGCUCGUAUAGCUCCCUUCCUCUCACUCCUUCCCCUUGUACUUGAUUAUUAAAGAUGAACCUGCAGCCC
rnacentral:lncRNA from 1 species